rnacentral:lncRNA from 1 species
ACAAUAUUAUUUUAAUAGUUACUUGCAUUCUUCCUGACAUAUUUAAGUAUAGCUAUAUAUCACAAAAUAUCCUGUGUUUUAUUAGUAUAACAAUCGAAAGCAUCAUAUUCCUCAUCGAUUUUACCGUACUUUAUAAAUAGCAUUGAAAAACAUAUGACUGCUCAUCAAUAGCACAAAGCGAUUAUGAGAACUGCAGAUUACCUGGUUAGGUGAAGAAAAGGUUUUUUUCAUUCAGUGGCAAUAGUGGCAACCCAAGAAACACAGCUAGCAAUAUCAGAAAAGGGAAUUGCCCUUCCUGGCUAAUAACAGUUUUAUUAAAUAUUUGUGUAAAAUGCACAAAUGGCAAGAUAAUAAUUAUGAUAUUUUAGAUGCCGUCAAAAAACAGACAUGCAUCUACUAUUCAUUAAACAGAGUAAGAUGCAUCGCAAGUCAUGGACACUCCCAAUCUCAAGACAUUUUAUUCUCAGCUCAUGUGAGAAAAACAUGAGUCAGAGAAGGCAGCUGCAGAGGUAGGAGACAGAAAAACACUGGACACAAAUCCUGAGCUACAAAUUAUUGGAAACUUUAAAAAUCCUGUCUGCCAGUGCAUGUUUCUGACCACGAAACCCAAAAAGAUGAGGAAAAUAUAACACUUUUUCUUCCUAAAAGAUUGAAAGGUCUUUUAACCUCAUAUUUUGGUGGAUCACAGUAACAAGAUUAUAGUAACAUGAACUACAUCAAAUAUUACAUCAGGAAUGAAAUGGAGGGUAUGUCCUCUGUGCCCAGGAACGCUGAUUAAAAUUAGUCAAGACCCACGCUCUCAGACACUCCAAUGUUCUCUCCUUGACUCUGUGGCCAAACCGUUUAUGAGAAAGCCAAAAGAGGAAUAUGUUUUUGAGAUUUCUUUCACAAGAUUGUGACUAUAGUUACGUCAACCUAAAGUCAUCAGAAAGAUUAGAAUCUAAAAGACUUUAUUUAAAUACAAACAUUUAGGAUAGACUGCCUAGAAAAGCACAGAUUUUAAAGAAUGGAAGUCAGUAUUCCAAAGUGUAGAAUUUUAAGAUCAUUUAAACAAAAUUCAAGAAAGUUUAACAGAAUUUUAACAUCUUUCUAUGUAAGGUUUAAUGUAUAGUUAUAAUAUUUUGAUUAGAUAAUCAAAUAUUAUCAAUUUUUUGGAAAAGAUAUAUUUAACAUUCUAAACAAGGCAGGUUCUGGUGUCCCUGGAAGUUGUAGUUUUGAUGUUAAUGCUUGUUUACACUUAUAGAUUCUGCAUUGACCACCAGAAGCUCCUCACACAAUGGCAGCAGGUUGGUGAACAAGAUAUAAAAGAUUCUACAGGCCCCAACCUGAGUGAUCCUCCUGCUUUAUAGGGUCUGUAUUGAUCUCUCAUGAUACAAGAAAGGUCUGCCCUGGAUUUUCUGUAAUCCUCAGACUGAAGGCUGGCCCUGUUUUAUGAAUCUCACGGGGAGGCAAAUUCCCCUUGUGUGCAAAUUCUAUGAGGGAUCGCAUCUGUUCUGUAUUCUUGGGUUUUACAGCAAGAAGAGACAAGAGGAAAAGAGAUUCCUUCCAGGAAGGCUGCUAUAGAGCAAUGUAAUCUCUGGUAUCCCCCAAAGCCAAGGAGAUCAAGUAAUGCAAUACAAGAAAGAGCAGAGUGUUAGACCUGAGAGGGAUCUCUCUGCUUACAACUCUGAGGGCCUCAUGAGAAAAAGCAGUUUCCUCCCAAGAGGAGGAGACUGUGACAACUUUUCUGUUUUCUGUGAUUCUAGGCUAGAAUUCUGUUAGAAUUCUUUUUUUGGGGGGCGUUCCCCUCAUGUGGCAUUUGGAGUGGCAAGAGGAAGGACAGACAGAAGUAAAUGGAGAAACAGAAUUCAUUUGACUUUUACAGAGAGAGGAGAUCUUAAAACCAUGCAUAUGUGUAUGUACGUAGAGUAAAUAUCAGUUUUUAUUAAGUCAACUUUGGACUAUAGAGCUCUUUAAAAAUCCUUUUCCUAACUGUAAUUCCUACUCAAGUCAUUAUACUUUUGCUGCUAGCUGGACCUCUGUAGCCAAAUGAGCAGCCAUUACACCUUAGUCGCUGUUCAACACCCUUCCUCACUGCAGUGUGAUAGACCACUCUCAGAUAACAAUCAUGCUAAUUCUGCCAGAAGUAUCCUAACUAGAGGCCCUAUCUUGAAUAAAGGCCAGGUAAAGCCAAACCUAUGGCCGGGCACAGUGGCUCGCACCUGUAAUCCCAACACUUUGGGAGGCUGAAGUGGGCAGAUCAGCUGAGGUCAGAGAUUCAAAAACAGCCUGGCCAACAUGGUGAAACCCUGUCUCUACUAAAAAUAUAUAAAUUAGCCGGGUGUGGUGGCGGGCACCUGUAAUCCCGGCUACUCGGGAGGCUGAGGCAGGAGAAUGGCUUACGCCCAAGAGGCGGUGAUUGCAGUGAGCCGAGAUUGCACCACUGCAGUCCAGCCUGGGCAACUCAGCGAGACUCUGUCUCAAGAAAAAAAAAAAAAAAAUGCCAAACCUGCUGGAUUACUUUCCGAGGGGGCUGGGCACUCUUGGUCACAAGAUGUUUAUGGUUGAAACACUGAGUUAAUGAUGUUAAUCAACUAAAUAAGAACUCAAAACUUAAGAAAAUGUCCCAGUACUUUAAGAAAAAGCAUUAUUAGUUUAAGUAUGUUUUGCUUUAAAAAUAGUACUCAUAAAUUCUUGCUGAAAUCAAUAGUAACAUAGAAAAGUAACAAUACUAAUAGCCUGUCAUAAGCUGAUUAGAAUCCUCUGUAAUAAAGUAUACCAUUCUUAAUAACCUAUAUAACCAUUUGAAAUGGGUGCAUUUCUCCUCUUGCUUUCUGAGGAAGGCCUACUCUAACAGAGGAGCUUUCAAUAAACUAUCUCUUCUCAUUGCAAGGCAUUCCUCUUCCUGCUUUCUGAGGAUGCCCUACUCUGUAACUGAGUAGUCUCUAAUAAACUUUACUACACUCUGCAACUCACCAAGAAUUCUUUCCUGUGUGAGAUUCAAGAACCCACUCUUGGGGUCUGGGACAAGAUCAUCACAUCUCUUCUAGUGACUCUGCCAGGACUUGAAUGAGGUGAAGUCCCAACUCAAAGGAAUGAGGUCCCAACCCAAAGGAAACAGACUCUGCAGCACCAAUGGGCUGACGCAAACUCUAGUUGUAAAUUUUUGACAAAUAAACCCUUACGACCUUCACCUAGUUUAGAAACAGAACAUUUUCAUCAUCUUCAGAAAAUUCACUCGUGUUUUGUCCCAGGCACCUAUCUUUUCUUCCUCAGCCAGAGGCUAUCAAUGUGUUUAUUUCACCAUAGGUUUAUUUUGCCUGAAAUAAUACAAUACAUAAAUAUACAAAACACAAUUUUAUGUCUACCUUUUUUCACUUACGAGGUCUAUGAGAUUCAUAUAGGGUGUGAGCUUUAGGCUGAGUUGUAUUCUGUUAUAUGAAUGCUAUGCAAUUAAUUCAAACCACUGCUUUAACCCAACAUCUUUUGGUGAACUACUUACAAACUGGCUCUCAAAUGAAUGUAAAACAUUUGCUGCUAAGUUGUGGCCUUUCAAUCUUACCUGCCUUAUCUAAUCAUUAUUAAGAUAGUCACUAUGAGAAAACUAUUCUCCAAAUUAUUGAAAGUUUAAGUCCUCCAGCAAAAGGAAUAUUAGGGAAGACAUUUCACUGUUAACCCAUAGUAUAUUAUUUCCAUCUGUUAACCACAAUCUUAGAUAAGAUGGAAUAGUUUAACACUGGUGUCAGUACAACAUUUCAUUCAUUGUACAUCAGUGUUAAAACAUGAAAAACCAACUCAUUUUAUUAAAAGAAAUUAAGUUCACCCAUAGUCUACAGCAUUUUAAAAUCCACUAUAUUCUUCCUGGUCAAAAUACAGUUACAAGUACUCAAGAAGCAUUCUUUUUUUCCAAUAUACUAAUCUUGCAGUUCUGUUUUCUACGUUUUUUUAAAGUGAGGCUAAUUAUUUAGUGAAUGUUGAUAGGAAUUAUCUUCACAUUUCCCUGAUACAGGUGAAGAUGUUAUUCUCAUCACAUCAAAUACUCAACUUUUUCACUAUGUAUUCUAUCACAUCAAAUAAUACUAAAGACUCCUACUUUAUUCUGUUUUAAAGAUAUGUUAGUACUUCAACUCAGUGGUCCUAACCUUUUUGGCACCAGGGAUUGGUUUCAUGGAAGACAAUUUUUCUACAAACUGGCAAGGAGAGAGAUGGUUUUGGGAUGAAAAUGUUCUGCCUCAGGUCAUCAGGCAUUAGUUGGAGUCUCCUAAGGAGCACACAACCUAGAUCCCUCACAUGCAUAGUUCACAAUAGGGUUUAUGAAAAUCUAAUGCCACCACUCAUCUGAGAGGAGGCAGAGCUCAGGUGGUAAUGCUUGCUCACCCACCACUCAUGUCCUACUGGUGCAGCUCAGUUUCUAACAGGCCACAGACCAGUAACUGGUCUACAGCCUGGGAAUGGGGACCUCUGCUUUAAAUGAAGUCUUUUUAAAAAAAAAAAAAAAAAAAAACUUAUGGAGGAAUUGAAGUAAUUUCAAAAAUUCAGAAUAUCCCUCUUACUUUAAUAUAGAAAAGAGCUCUAAACACGUAUAUGUUUACAUGCAUUACUACUUUAUUCAAACA